GGGGGUGUAGCUCAGUUGGGAGAGCGCCACACUUGCACUGUGGAUGUCGCAGGUUCGACUCCUGUCAUCUCCA
rnacentral:tRNA from 1 species